GGAGGUAUGGCUUAGUGGUAGAGCACCUGCCUAUCAAGCACAAGGCCUUGAGUUCAAACCCCAAUACCACUG
rnacentral:tRNA from 1 species